rnacentral:rRNA from 1 species
GACGAACGCUGGCGGCGUGCUUAACACAUGCAAGUCGAACGGAAAGGCCCUGCUUUUGUGGGGUGCUCGAGUGGCGAACGGGUGAGUAACACGUGAGUAACCUGCCCUUGACUUUGGGAUAACUUCAGGAAACUGGGGCUAAUACCGGAUAGGAGCUCCUGCUGCAUGGUGGGGGUUGGAAAGUUUCGGCGGCUGGGGAUGGACUCGCGGCUUAUCAGCUUGGUGGUGGGGUAGUGGCUUACCAAGGCUUUGACGGGUAGCCGGCCUGAGAGGGUGACCGGCCACAUUGGGACUGAGAUACGGCCCAGACUCCUACGGGAGGCAGCAGUGGGGAAUAUUGCACAAUGGGAGGAAGCCUGAUGCAGCAACGCCGCGUGCGGGAUGACGGCCUUCGGGUUGUAAAACGCUUUCGCCUGUGACGAAGCGUGAGUGACGGUAAUGGGUAAAGAAGCACCGGCUAACUACGUG